AGUGAACGCUGGCGGUAGGCCUAACACAUGCAAGUCGAACGGCAGCACAGUAAGAGCUUGCUCCUACGGGUGGCGAGUGGCGGACGGGUGAGGAAUACAUCGGAAUCUACUUUUUCGUGGGGGAUAACGUAGGGAAACUUACGCUAAUACCGCAUAUGACCUACGGGUGAAAGCAGGGGAUCUUCGGACCUUGCGCGAUUGAAUGAGCCGAUGUCGGAUUAGCUAGUUGGCGGGGUAAAGGCCCACCAAGGCGACGAUCCGUAGCUGGUCUGAGAGGAUGAUCAGCCACACUGGAACUGAGACACGGUCCAGACUCCUACGGGAGGCAGCAGUGGGGAAUAUUGGACAAUGGGCGCAAGCCUGAUCCAGCCAUACCGCGUGGGUGAAGAAGGCCUUCGGGUUGUAAAGCCCUUUUGUUGGGAAAGAAAAGCAGCAGGUUAAUACCCCGCUGUUCUGACGGUACCCAAAGAAUAAGCACCGGCUAACUUCGUG
rnacentral:rRNA from 1 species